GCUACGCCAUACUAAACUGGAAAACUCUUGAAUCAGUUUAAGAGUUUCAAGUAAUAAAAAAAUCCCUUCAAACGAUUUGUGUAGAAAUCCUUGUCCUUCUCACAACAUUUUCAAGGGUUCCAACUCUGAUCUCAUGCCAGAUGCCAAGUGCCCGACCGAUGAUUCGUAAUCAAAAUUAAAUUUCUGAUUGUUGCUGGACAGAAAUCGCAUACGAUUCUUCAGAUACACACGCUCCCACAGAUCCGUAUAUAUAUAGAGAAGGUAUAUAUAUAUGUAUAUAUAAACAAUUUCCACAGCCACUUUGGACGCAUGAUUCUGAGUGGGCUCUGUGCGAAAAGUGCGAUGGGCUGUACGGUGGGAGAGUGGUUGGGGGGCGGGGCGAGGCACAAUGUUGACAGCUGUGUAAGAAGUGCGCAGUGUGUGUGUGUGUGUGUGUGUGUGGAACUUAUAUAGGAAGCGCUGUCGGAGAGCGUCAACGGAAUGGCUAAAUAUAUACCCGAAACUGAACAACUGAGAAA